UACGUAGGGUGCAAGCGUUAUCCGGAAUUAUUGGGCGUAAAGAGCUCGUAGGCGGUUUGUCGCGUCUGCUGUGAAAACCCGAGGCUCAACCUCGGGCCUGCAGUGGAUACGGGCAGACUAGAGUUCGGCAGGGGAGACUGGAAUUCCUGGUGUAGCGGUGAAAUGCGCAGAUAUCAGGAGGAACACCGGUGGCGAAGGCGGGUCUCUGGGCCGAUACUGACGCUGAGGAGCGAAAGCGUGGGGAGCGAACAGG
rnacentral:rRNA from 1 species